GACGAUUUACAUAUUUUUUUAACUUAUAGAUUUAUCGGGUACGCGUAUUACAAACACAGUGCAGUAUACCCGUAUACCGUAAAUUACCAACACGCGCGUUUCUCGUUGCGUUUAUAUGAUAAUUUUUCGUUUUUUUUUUUUGUAUUUUUUUUUAAUUUUGUGUAUUCACGGUCCGGAAUAUUCAAUUAUAAUACGAGUAUAUCUGUAUGGAAUAAUAUAGAUAUAUAACUUUUUCGUUUUUUUUUUCUUUUUUUUUUUUUUUAUUCACGGCCUUUAUCGAAAAUAAGCGUUUGCGUUUAUUGAUGGGAAAACGAGCGUAAAUAAUGACGUACAGCACCGACAUUAUUACGUGUUUGAAUAUUAUGUUACAUUGCAUAACCCCGGGACUUGUUUGCUACGCGGGUGUUUAUCGAGCUUAACGACGGAUUAUUAUCGCGGUACGCGCCGAGUUUCGCGCUUCGUCGUAUAAUAUCGUUUCCACCGCGGUAUUACACGCGAUUCUGCAUAAUGAUCGUACAGGUGAUACUAUCGCUGCAUGUCAGUAUGAUUUAUCGUUUUGUUUUUUUUUUAUUAUGUUCGACUCGUAUACGUGACGUUUUUUUUUUUAUUUCCAACGGCCGUUUCGGUGCGCCGGCGUGAGAUUUUCGCGCCGUUCUCUUUAUGCGCGGCUAGUGUACGGGGAUCCGCGUUCGACGGAAUCGCACGUGUGCGGACGUAUUAAUGAACGAUAAAAAUAGCAAUACAAUACGUUUCGAUAAUCGUGAAGCAGCGCGGGCAUAGUUCGAAAAACAAUAAAAUCUUCAAAGAAGAAU